rnacentral:rRNA from 1 species
GAGUUUGAUCUUGGCUCAGAUUGAACGCCGGCGGCAUGCCUUACACAUGCAAGUCGAACGGCAGCACGGGAGCUUGCUCCUGGUGGCGAGUGGCGAACGGGUGAGUAAUGCAUCGGAACGUAUCCUGGAGUGGGGGAUAACGUAGCGAAAGUUACGCUAAUACCGCAUAUUCUGUGAGCAGGAAAGCGGGGGACCUUCGGGCCUCGCGCUCUUGGAGCGGCCGAUGUCGGAUUAGCUAGUUGGUGAGGUAAAGGCUCACCAAGGCGACGAUCCGUAGCAGGUCUGAGAGGAUGAUCUGCCACACUGGAACUGAGACACGGUCCAGACUCCUACGGGAGGCAGCAGUGGGGAAUUUUGGACAAUGGGGGCAACCCUGAUCCAGCCAUGCCGCGUGAGUGAAGAAGGCCUU